ensembl:snRNA U6 U6 spliceosomal RNA
UUGCUUUGGCAGCACAUAUACCAAAAUUGAAAUGAUACAGAGAAAAUAAGCAUGGCCCAAUGCAAGGCUGAGAAGCAAAUUCGUGUUGUUCCAUAUUAAG